rnacentral:rRNA from 1 species
GGACUACACGGGUUUCUAAUCCCGUUCGCUACCCUGGCUUUCGUGUGUGAGCGUCAGAUGAGGGCCAGUGCGCUGCCUUCGCCUUUGGUGUUCCCCACGAUAUCAACGGAUUUCACCCCUACACCGUGAGUUCCACGCACCUCUCCCUACCUCUAGUCAUGCCGUUUCGCUCGCGGACCGUAGGUUGAGCCCACGGAUUUUACGAACGACUAACAUGACCGCCUUGACACCCUUUACGCCCAGUGAUUCCGGAUAAUGCUUGGGGCCUCUGUAUUACCGCGGCUGCUGGCAC